CUAUUGUGCAAUGGAGACUAACUGAGGUCUGCCAAAGAUUGGAGCAUGAUCUUGUGAUCCAGAGUUUUAAUGGUCUAUAUUGAGAUGCAUUUCUUUGGUGCAAUACUAGACAACAUUGGCAGUUGAAGUUUUUAGAAUAAAAAAUAUAUUUCACUAACAUUGUAUGCAUUUCUUGUUUAAUAUUUGGUGAUGAUAGAAUUUGAUUGUAGUAUAAACUAUCAUGUAAUAUGAUUUUGUAAGCUGAGUAGACUAAAUAUUGAAAAUAUAUUUUUGAGUAAUUAAUAAAAAAUAUUUUGUUGUA